UGCUAGCAGAGAAGGAGUUCUCCCCCCAUCUCCCUCAGUAAACAUUGAUACCAUGUAAUUUUUCGAAGUCUUUCAAGACGGUGUACCAGGCAAACCUGUGUCCAACUGUACCUAGUGCAAACUACGGACUUCAUCUGUGUUCAUCAUACGUACCAGUCUGUAUGGAAAAUGUGGUCUGAUACAGACAAGACAUUAUCAUGGGUGCUAAAUUUUGGAUGCUCAGAUUAGCAAGGAGUUUACCAUAGUCUUGCCAGAGACACAGGAAUGCUACUGCUACUUCCCAUGUAACUGCUUCUCUCAUGAAACCAUUAUGUAGCAACAAAAUCAGAGGACUGGCUGGCCUUCAAGGAUGUAUUUUCCUUGAUGGAACUUGUGCAGGAAAAAGUUUAUAGAAACUGGAGCUCUCUAAAACAGAUACGGUUGGAUUAACGUGUUCUCUAGAACCUGAGUAUGCA